UUCGAAACAAAUGAUUCACAAAAGAUUCGAAGCUUCAGUGAUUCGAAACAAAUGAUUCACAAAAGAUUCGAAGCUUCAGUGAUUGGACAGCGCGGUCACUCUGCUGCGCAUGCGCACUUUCACUCCAGGGCUGCUCGUCCUCUGGCUUUGUGUCCAAACCGAAAGUAAACUCAGCAAAGAGACGCGCAUUUAGAAGAUCGCCAUUAAAUCCUAAAUAAUAAGACGAAUAUCGAAGCGGCCAUAAACAUCGCAUUACAGACUGAAGUCAGUUUGUGAUUAUGGAGAGCAGAGAGAGCAGAGAGAGAUCUUCAUCUGCUGAUCACAGCUGUGUGUCUCUGAAGAGUGACGGAUCUAUGGGUCCUCCUCCUGACCUCAGUGAUGAUCCAGUGACCUCUGACCCCAGGUGAGAUAUAAUCCAGUGUUAAGCGUGAACAAUCACUGGAUCACAGUUCAUCAUUUCUCAGAUGCUCCACGAGUCGACAAGUGCUGCUUCAACAUGUUCAAUCAGAGAAAACACAGACUGAGAACAGCAGCAGAUUCAGACAGGAGUCACACACUGAUCCACAAACCAGACCAAGAGUCUGUUUCCACUGUUAGUGAAGCACACACUGACUUACUAUUACAGCUGCAGAUAACCAGCAUUUACUGAUUCAUCUGAUGAUUGUUUCUGUG